CUAUCAAAGAGGAGCUGCGUAAGAAAUGUUUAAAAAAUUCUUAGAAGGAAAGACGAUGAGCGUUUGAUCAUAAAAUGAGGGUUCCAAGCGACUUCAUGGAGGCGUUGAGAAUGGUAUUUCGAUAGUCCUUGGGUUUAUGGCGGUUCAGAGCGUAGGAGAGUCGCAUGAUGACGGAGUGCUUGCAUAAUCAACGUCAUAUGAGCUAGUAGAUGAGACUCCACAGUAGACAUGCCUUAUAUUCAGUUAUUAGAGUUUUCUUAAUUUUUUUAUUUUGUAAAGGCAGUGAGCCUUAAUACAUUCUUAGUUAAUCUAUUUCAUGAUACAUUCAUAUAUUUCAUGAUGAAAGAUGUA